rnacentral:ncRNA from 1 species
AGGAUAGAGGCGCGGCGCGCAAGAGUACCCCCGGAGCCAAGGACAGGCAUCCGCCGGAGGGAAAGGGCAAGCCGCCGAAGGGUCGUUGCUUUGCCUGAGGGGCGAUCACCUGGGCCGUCGGAGAAUAUCCGCCGGACUGCCACAUUUGUGGAGCGCUAUCAG